UGCGUAGGUGGUUUCUUAAGUCAGAGGUGAAAGGCUACGGCUCAACCGUAGUAAGCCUUUGAAACUGGGAAACUUGAGUGCAGGAGAGGAGAGUGGAAUUCCUAGUGUAGCGGUGAAAUGCGUAGAUAUUAGGAGGAACACCAGUUGCGAAGGCGGCUCUCUGGACUGUAACUGACACUGAGGCGCGAAAGCGUGGGGAGCAAACA
rnacentral:rRNA from 1 species